UUGAGUGUUUGUUUGAUUCUUCCUGUCAGAGCAUUCAUAGCUGUUGCUUUCAUUUCCCCACAUGGUUUCUUUACCGCUUUUAUUUACCUGUAUACAGCUAAACUCUGGCAUUCCAAUCGUCUUCUUACUUUGACUUGACAAAAUGAGUUUCAAUAUGUCCGUCUCUACCGUCAACUCUCUGGACAAUGAUGGUGGCGCGUCUCGCUAUCUGAUCGCUUGUGGCGAUGUGAAAUGCAGCCAUGGUAAAUGUGUGCUGGUGAACAGCCAGCCCACCUGUGAGUGUAAGCUGGGAUACAUAGGAAACACCUGUAGUGAUACGAUCAAUGAGGCCGUCUCCCUACCACUCAUUCUCGGGGUGCUGGCCUUCAUAUUUGGCUUCAUCAUCCUGAUUUUUGGGCUGGCAUUCUUCAGGCAAAUGCAAAAGGCAAAGCAGAGAAGAAAGACUGCUGAAGAAGCUUUAAGACGAAAUGGAGUGCUCCUUUAAGAUGCCUUAAUGCCACAUGACAUAGAAAAGAAUGAUUAAAAGCUUGAAGCACUUUGAAGAGUUUACGAAAUGAGUUCUCCAUGUCACAUAAUGUAACUUACAAUUACAUGUACAUGAAAAGUAGUAUAUUCAGUUUAUAGUGUUGUUUGGGUAGGCUAUUUACUAUCUAUAAAGUUAUCCUAAGCAGAAAUCUCUUGGUAUUAAUGUAAUGCUUAAAUCACUGAUUGACUGAAAAUUGUUGUGCAUGAAAGACAUAAAUUAAGCUUUUGGAUGAUUUGUGUUGGGAUACCUGCAGGGGGUGAUGCAUGUCUAUCAUGAUAAAUGUGCAUUGACUAGUUGGCAGGAAUUUCAGUGCUGUUUUUCUUGAGUUAUAUUUGGUUUAGUCGUGACGGGUGAGUUUGAAUGACUCUGAAAACUGAAUGGUUUUAUGGGCUGAUAAGCCAUCAACAGGCAUCUGCUUCAAGUGUGUAUUUAUGGGGCACGGUUUCACAACAACUCUGUAUUACACUGUUUUUUUCUGGCCUCAAGACCAAAUGUCUGUACUAGUAUUAACAUGCCUUUUUAAAUGGUAUUUC